AACAAAAGAAAAAAAAAGAGAAGAAGGGAAUAAACAGAAUAGUAGAAACGAAACAGAGAGGGAAGGAAGGAAAGAAAGAAAAGAAAGAAAAAAAAGGGAAAAUUUAAGGUUUGAAGCUUGAAGUUUAAUUUGCUAACGUUGUCUCGAGAAGUUUCAGCUAAGUAAGGAAAUAGCAAAGUUGACGAGGAAAAGCUUGGAAAAGCUCGAAAAAUACGGUUUGUAUUUCUAUAAUCCGAACUCAGUCAUUAUUUGUUAUAUUUAUAUACAUAUGACAAUUGUUAGUGUUAGAAUUAUGAUGUUUUACAAUUGAAAUGGAUUGAUUUUGGUAUGUGAUGAAUUUAUCAAAUUUAUAUUGAUUGAAAUCAUUUUGAUUGAA